rnacentral:rRNA from 1 species
GAUGAACGCUGGCGGCGUGCCUAAUACAUGCAAGUCGAGCGAACAGACGAGGAGCAUGCUCCUCUGACGUUAGCGGCGGACGGGUGAGUAACACGUGGAUAACCUACCUAUAAGACUGGGAUAACUUCGGGAAACCGGAGCUAAUACCGGAUAACAUGUUGAACCGCAUGGUUCAACAGUGAAAGACGGUCUUGCUGUCACUUAUAGAUGGAUCCGCGCCGCAUUAGCUAGUUGGUAAGGUAACGGCUUACCAAGGCAACGAUGCGUAGCCGACCUGAGAGGGUGAUCGGCCACACUGGAACUGAGACACGGUCCAGACUCCUACGGGAGGCAGCAGUAGGGAAUCUUCCGCAAUGGGCGAAAGCCUGACGGAGCAACGCCGCGUGAGUGAAGAAGGUCUUCGGGUCGUAAAACUCUGUUAUUAGGGAAGAACAAAUGUGUAAGUAACUAUGCACGUCUUGACGGUACCUAAUCAGAAAGCCACGGCUAACUACGUG